rnacentral:misc_RNA from 1 species
GAUGAAGAACGCAGCAAAAUGCGAUAAGUAAUGUGAAUUGCAGAAUUCAGUGAAUCAUCGAAUCUUUGAACGCACAUUGCGCCCGCCAGUAUUCUGGCGGGCAUGCCUGUUCGAGCGUCAUUUCAACCCUCAAGCACAGCUUGGUGUUGGGACUCGCGUUAAUUCGCGUUCCCCAAAUUGAUUGGCGGUCACGUCGAGCUUCCAUAGCGUAGUAGUAAAACCCUCGUUACUGGUAAUCGUCGCGGCCACGCCGUUAAACCCCCACUUCUGAAUGUUGACCUCGGAUCUGGUAGGAAUACCCGCUGAACUUAAGCAUAUCAAUAAGCGGAGGA